AAAUUAUUUACCUUGGCGCAGAGCUUCCCCAGGCUCCAUGCUUGUCUGUAAGAAUGUUGACAAUUUUCUGUAUUAGCUGAGUUGCAGUCACUUGGUCUCGGUACUUAGCUGCCGUUAUCAAAUGAUGGCACAUUUUUUCUUCUUCCCGUUUGUCAGCAGAGUACUGGGCACAUAGUGACUCAAAUUCAGCAUGUCGGUUAAUAUCUUCUGCCCGUUGUCUGCUCAAGAUAAAUUCUGCUUCAUUAGCCACUCUGACCAAAUGGUCCUUCAUAUUCUGACUCAACAACCUUCCUUCAUUGACAAGCUCUAUAAAGGCAAGGCCAGCAUUC
rnacentral:lncRNA from 1 species